AGAAAAAUCAAUAACCUAACUGAAACCCGAUUUCCUCUGACGAUAACAUCGGUUUACUUCAAACUAUAAUCUCUAUUAAUAUGAUAACCAAGAAUCACAACGGUCGAAGGUGGUGCAGUUGUCAUGCCUUAGCCAUCUAUAUCAAGAGAUCAAAUCCGUUAUGAUUGAUAUUUAUGUUUCAAAAACAUAAUAAAUUUGGGUACAAACCGAAAUUCCGAUAUAUUAAAAAUGACAUACGGGUGCUUUGCAGGGGGCUGGCAUGUAGAGAUGUUUACAAAAUUAUGAAAGUAAAAUGCCUAAAUAGCGUAGGAUGUUUCUUGGGGCGUAAACACGGGUA